GCUAGUAAUCGCGGAUCAGAAUGCCGCGGUGAAUACGUUCCCGGGUCUUGUACACACCGCCCGUCACACCAUGGGAGGUCGGGAAUGCCCGAAGUCAGUGACCCAACCCAAGGGAGGGAGCUGCCGAAGGCAGGCCUGGUGACUGGGGUGAAGUCGUAACAAGGUAGC
rnacentral:rRNA from 1 species